GAUGAACGCUGGCGGCGUGCCUAAUACAUGCAAGUAGAACGCUGAAGCUUGGUGCUUGCACCGAGCGGAUGAGUUGCGAACGGGUGAGUAACGCGUAGGUAACCUGCCUCUUAGCGGGGGAUAACUAUUGGAAACGAUAGCUAAUACCGCAUAAAAGUCGAUAUCGCAUGAUAUUGAUUUGAAAGGUGCAAUUGCAUCACUAAGAGAUGGACCUGCGUUGUAUUAGCUAGUUGGUGAGGUAACGGCUCACCAAGGCGACGAUACAUAGCCGACCUGAGAGGGUGAUCGGCCACACUGGGACUGAGACACGGCCCAGACUCCUACGGGAGGCAGCAGUAGGGAAUCUUCGGCAAUGGGGGCAACCCUGACCGAGCAACGCCGCGUGAGUGAAGAAGGUUUUCGGAUCGUAAAGCUCUGUUGUAAGAGAAGAACGAGUGUGAGAGUGGAAAGUUCACGCUGUGACGGUAUCUUACCAGAAAGGGACGGCUAACUACGUGCCAGCAGCCGCGGUAAUACGUAGGUCCCGAGCGUUAUCCGGAUUUAUUGGGCGUAAAGCGAGCGCAGGCGGUUAGAUAAGUCUGAAGUUAAAGGCUGUGGCUUAACCAUAGUACGCUUUGGAAACUGUUUAACUUGAGUGCAGAAGGGGAGAGUGGAAUUCCAUGUGUAGCGGUGAAAUGCGUAGAUAUAUGGAGGAACACCGGUGGCGAAAGCGGCUCUCUGGUCUGUAACUGACGCUGAGGCUCGAAAGCGUGGGGAGCAAACAGG
rnacentral:rRNA from 1 species